rnacentral:rRNA from 1 species
GUGGUACCGUCAAACUUAUAGGGUAUUAACCUAUAGGCACUUCUUCCCACCUGACAGAGCUUUACAACCAAGGCCUUCUUCACUCACGCGGCGUCGCUGCGUCAGGGUUUCCCCCAUUGCGCAAUAUUCCUCA